rnacentral:rRNA from 1 species
GACGAACGCUGGCGGCGUGCUUAACACAUGCAAGUCGAACGGAAAGGCCCUGCUUUUGUGGGGUGCUCGAGUGGCGAACGGGUGAGUAACACGUGAGUAACCUGCCCUCGACUUUGGGAUAACUUCAGGAAACUGGGGCUAAUACCGGAUAGGAGCUCCUGCUGCAUGGUGGGGGUUGGAAAGUUUCGGCGGUUGGGGAUGGACUCGCGGCUUAUCAGCUUGUUGGUGGGGUAGUGGCUUACCUAGGCUUUGACGGGUAGCCGGCCUGAGAGGGUGACCGGCCACAUUGGGACUGAGAUACGGCCCAGACUCCUACGGGAGGCAGCAGUGGGGAAUAUUGCACAAUGGGCGGAAGCCUGAUGCAGCAACGCCGCGUGCGGGAUGACGGCCUUCGGGUUGUAAACCGCUUUCGCCUGUGACGAAGCGUGAGUGACGGUAAUGGGUAAAGAAGCACCGGCUAACUACGUG